AAAGAGGGGGACCUUCGGGCCUCUUGCCAUCGGAUGUGCCCAGAUGGGAUUAGCUUGUAGGUGGGGUAACGGCUCACCUAGGCGACGAUCCCUAGCUGGUCUGAGAGGAUGACCAGCCACACUGGAACUGAGACACGGUCCAGACUCCUACGGGAGGCAGCAGUGGGGAAUAUUGCACAAUGGGCGCAAGCCUGAUGCAGCCAUGCCGCGUGUAUGAAGAAGGCCUUCGGGUUGUAAAGUACUUUCAGCGGGGAGGAAGGGAGUAAAGUUAAUACCUUUGCUCAUUGACGUUACCCGCAGAAGAAGCACCGGCUAACUCCGUGCCAGCAGCCGCGGUAAUACGGAGGGUGCAAGCGUUAAUCGGAAUUACUGGGCGUAAAGCGCACGCAGGCGGUUUGUUAAGUCAGAUGUGAAAUCCCCGGGCUCAACCUGGGAACUGCAUCUGAUACUGGCAAGCUUGAGUCUCGUAGAGGGGGGUAGAAUUCCAGGUGUAGCGGUGAAAUGCGUAGAGAUCUGGAGGAAUACCGGUGGCGAAGGCGGCCCCCUGGACGAAGACUGACGCUCAGGUGCGAGAGCGUGGGGAGCAGACAGGAUUAGAUACCCUGGUAGUCCACGCCGUAGACGAUGUCGACUUGGAGGUUGUGCCCUUGAGGCGUGGCUUCCGGAGCUAACGCGUUAAGUCGACCGCCUGGGGAGUACGGCCGCAAGGUUAAAACUCAAAUGAAUUGACGGGGGCCCGCACAAGCGGUGGAGCAUGUGGUUUAAUUCGAUGCAACGCGAAGAACCUUACCUGGUCUUGACAUCCACGGAAGUUUUCAGAGAUGAGAAUGUGCCUUCGGGAACCGUGAGACAGGUGCUGCAUGGCUGUCGUCAGCUCGUGUUGUGAAAUGUUGGGUUAAGUCCCGCAACGAGCGCAACCCUUAUCCUUUGUUGCCAGCGGUCCGGCCGGGAACUCAAAGGAGACUGCCAGUGAUAAACUGGAGGAAGGUGGGGAUGACGUCAAGUCAUCAUGGCCCUUACGACCAGGGCUACACACGUGCUACAAUGGCGCAUACAAAGAGAAGCGACCUCGCGAGAGCAAGCGGACCUCAUAAACUGCGUCGUAGUCCGGAUUGGAGUCUGCAACUCGACUCCAUGAAGUCGGAAUC
rnacentral:rRNA from 1 species